rnacentral:rRNA from 1 species
ACGCUGGCGGCGUGCUUAACACAUGCAAGUCGAACGAUGAAGCCCAGCUUGCUGGGUGGAUAGUGGCGAACGGGUGAGUAACACGUGAGUAACCUGCCCUUAACUCUGGGAUAAGCCUGGGAAACUGGGUCUAAUACCGGAUAGGAGCGCCUACCGCAUGGUGGGUGUUGGAAAGAUUUAUCGGUUUUGGAUGGACUCGCGGCCUAUCAGCUUGUUGGUGAGGUAAUGGCUCACCAAGGCGACGACGGGUAGCCGGCCUGAGAGGGUGACCGGCCACACUGGGACUGAGACACGGCCCAGACUCUACGGGAGGCAGCAGUGGGGAAUAUUGCACAAUGGGCGCAAGCCUGAUGCAGCGACGCCGCGUGAGGGAUGACGGCCUUCGGGUUGUAAACCUCUUUCAGUAGGGAAGAAGCGAAAGUGACGGUACCUGCAGAAGAAGCACCGGCUAACUACGUGCCAGCAGCCGCGGUAAUACGUAGGGUGCGAGCGUUAUCCGGAAUUAUUGGGCGUAAAGAGCUCGUAGGCGGUUUGUCGGUCUGUCGUGAAAGUCCGGGGCUUAACCCCGGAUCUGCGGUGGGUACGGGCAGACUAGAGUGCAGUAGGGGAGACUGGAAUUCCUGGUGUAGCGGUGGAAUGCGCAGAUAUCAGGG